ensembl:lncRNA
AGAAAACUGGAGUGGGUUGCCUAAGAACACACAGAACUCUGCAACACAAUUCUCCAGCAGUUUGAAGUAUGUGUACUUUCCAGCCCUUUUCUCUGCCUACUACACCUUGUAAACAUGUUCUGAACAGAUGGGAGAGCGAUCCACUGCAGUUAACCCCAGACACACACAGAGAACCCAAGAAAUGGGGAGCUCUCUACAUCAACCCAUUCUGAGUCUGGAUGGCUUCCAGAAGGAACAAUUCCGGAGACCCAUUACAGAAGCCUGGUCAGGAACCAAGCACAGACUUCCUGUUCCACCCAGAAGAAGGUGGCUUGUGAGCACGAAAGUGCACCCUCAGACACCAUCACCUCCUCCUUCAAUUGCCAGACUGCACUGCUGAGGCGAGGACAGAAGCUGACUCUGGGAGCUCUGUGCUGGCAGCCAGCAAUCACUAUCUUUGACUUGAGUAGCAAAGUGUUUGAAGUUGAUUUGUCUCAUGAGAAACAGCUAUGGAUUUGUUUUUGAUUGCUGUUAAUUCUCUUAAUGAGAAAAUCUAUAAAGAGAACUAGGAGGAAGAGAGAUUUUUAUUGUCUUUCUUUUAUUUUAAUGACAACAGAAGAUAUAAUGUAUAGGGAAUAAGACUUUCUUGUGGGCACUGGGCCUAUUCACCACAAAAAGAGGCUGGCUGAGUCCCAGCUCCCCAGGAAGAAACUCGUGAGAAAAUGAGGCGGCAGGGGAACAAUAAAACUUCUAGGAAAUGGCA